rnacentral:lncRNA from 1 species
CUCGUUAGCCAUCUCUGGGUUAAUAGUGUUAUCUUUUCCAUUUCAGAGUUCGGGUAACAGAGGCAUCAGGACACCUUGUGUCUGGCACCCUAGCAGUGAGCAGCCACUCCUGGGCUCCCUGAGGAGGUUUGGAUUUGUCUCACGGGGCACUCCAAAAACUGAACUGAGAAAUCCCAAGAAAGCUGCCUGA